GUAGGGUGCAAGCGUUAAUCGGAAUUACUGGGCGUAAAGCGUGCGCAGGCGGUUAUGCAAGACAGAGGUGAAAUCCCCGGGCUCAACCUGGGAACUGCCUUUGUGACUGCAUGGCUAGAGUACGGUAGAGGGGGAUGGAAUUCCGCGUGUAGCAGUGAAAUGCGUAGAUAUGCGGAGGAACACCGAUGGCGAAGGCAAUCCCCUGGACCUGUACUGACGCUCAUGCACGAAAGCGUGGGGGGAGCAAACAGGAUUAGAUACCCUGGUAGUCCACGCCCCUAAACGAUGUCAACUGGUUGUUGGGAGGGUUUCUUCUCAGUAACGUAGCUAACGCGUGAAGUUGACCGCCUGGGAGUACGGCCGCAAGGUUG
rnacentral:rRNA from 1 species